rnacentral:lncRNA from 1 species
GUUAAGUGAUUAUCGACCAAGGCAAAAUGGUCCUUUCACCCCAUCUAACUCCCUGGUCCUUUUUUUAAUCCCUAAAUUUGUUCCAAAGUAUAUGAAACACUCCUUAAUACCUAAUUUAUUCUCUCUCCCAAAAUCCGCAAUUUCCAAUCUGAAGUUUCAAGAAUAUGGUCAAAGAUAAUAGUUUCUUCUGAAGGUUUUCUCACGAGUUUCAUCAUCAAGGGUAUGGGAAACAAAUCCAAAGUCUCAUAUCGAAUUCAAGCUAGGGUUCAAACUUCCAAGUUAAGGAUUCAAGCUUUUCCCAAAUUCCUUCCCUCAAAAAGGCAUAUUGAACACUCUCUACUUUAAUUACUAUCCUAAAGUGUGAAUUUCAUUAUCGUUAUACUUAUUUUAUUGAUGUUUUAAGGUUGGAAUUUGAGAAUUGUUAUUACAAACACUAAAUACGUUUUUCCCUCUUUGUACAAACUAUUUCUAACCUCUUGUGGACUGUGUUGGUGAUAUGAAUAAAAUGAUUGAAAGAUGCAUCUUAUUAUAUAGCUUUCAAAAUACUGAAUUUAUGAAUGAUUGAAAUUAUACUUUCAAGUCCUUCAAGAAAGCUUUGAAGUAAACAUGAUGAACAGAGAUGAUGCCCCAUCUUUCUGAAAGAUUGAAAUGUGUUAGAACUUUAUGACUUGCUUUGAGUUUCUUAUGCAAUUUGAUGAUGAAUAUGAGUAUGAUUUAGAAUGAUGGGGUAAGGAGUCGAUAAUGUUUUAUGAUAAUGUUUUUUUGGCAUAAUAUGAAUGGCUUGUAAGUCUUGGUAUUACGAUACCAAUAUGAAGAUGCCUAAUGAAUGACUCCAUGAUUAAUGUUAUGUGAAAAAUGUUUUAAUUGGUCUCUAAAGGGAAUUGCAUAGCUUCACCUUGAAGGCGUAAGUCCUUGUGACCAACGCUCGAAACCUAUAUUUGCCGGUAUAGAAAUGUUGUACCUUAACUGGACGAUCAGAUAGUAUCCUCAAAAUGAGGAUAGUCCUUAACAUGAAGACAAUAUAUAUGGUGGCUCAGUCUAUCGUUGACUCUUGCCUAACCCUCAGCACUUGCGGCCAACAUGUAUUGGGCCCUGCCGGUUGGGGAGUUCCGGACCCAUAUAGCCAUGGGUAAAGAGAUGACGGUGAAAGCUACGUAGUUCAGGACAAAAGUUUUAAAUGAUCAUGUAACAUGUCCCUUGCCCCUACCUCGGCAUCCUAUUACAGUUAUGAUUGUUGAAUAUAUGUUUUAUGACUAAUUUUGGUAAAUUUGCAUAUUUUAUCCCUCUCCUUGGGUUGCAUGUGAGUACUCGCUGUACUGACCGUCUCCGGAUGCUACAUCAUUUCAUGAUGUAGGUUCGGAGGGUUUUUCGCAGUGUUAGGUGGUUUGGUAUCUCUAUUGCGCAGCUGUUGAAGUGGUGAGCCCUCCAUCAUUCAAAAGACCUGUUUCUUUUAGCGCUUUCUGGUUUUAGCACUUUAUUUCUUUCCUUCUGGCAUAGUCGGGGUCAUGUCCCGACUUAGUCGAUGUUUUAUGGAUAGAGGCUUUUAGACAACAUUGGGUUAUGGUUCCUAGAUUUGGAUUUGGUUUUCAAACUUCAUUUCGUUAUUCAUCAAACUCUUUCAUGUUAUAAGUUCAUUUCCGCAAUUAUAUUUGUCACUAUGCUUAAGAUAUAAUGCUAAGGGGUCAUCUCAAGCAUUCAUCGGUUUGGGAUGAUUGUCAUGGGCAGGGCUACUGUUCGGUUCGUGACACUUCGAAAAGUCCCAACUAGCAGAUACUAUUACCAAGGUUCUUCUAAACGAACCUUCGACAGCCACAUGUUCAAGCUACACGUUGUUACACACUGCUUACCUAAAAGAGGUGUAUCAGUCCAUUACUUAGAAUUAGUUAAUCACCGUGUAUUGUGAAGUUCUCUUUUUAAAUUGAUUAGCUAAAUUAGUCUUAAUAAAAUUAUUAUAUUAUCAGUGUAUUUAUCUUAGUCCAAUGUUCAAUAGUUUAGGUUCUUUAAAAGUUAAAACUAGUAGAAGUUCUGCUCACUAGUUUGAUGUUUUUUUAAACUAUAAGAGCAUUUGGUUAGUACGAUGCUUGUAGACAAAGUUAAUAGAAAGUUUUUUCAUAUUAAUACAACUAAUGGACGGUGGUUUGCUGCUUUCGUCUGUUGAUCCAUCUAACUACUUAGCAUAAGAACUAUAGAUGACAUUAAUGGCCUAUCGCUGCAUGGUCCUGGAUAUAGAGAAGGCCAAUAUGAGUCUGAAAUUGAUUUAUCCAUCAGUCUAGUCCUUUGCUUUCCGUCCAUAGCUGUCAUGCCUAAAAUCAUAUAAGCACUCAAAACAUGGUUAAAUUUUAU